GGGCCAGUAGCUCAGUGGUUAGAGCAGUCGGCUCAUAACCGAUUGGUCGUAGGUUCAAUUCCUACCUGGCCCACCA
rnacentral:tRNA from 1 species